UAAUUCUUUCCUCCAUAGAUGCUGGGUGCUGGAUGCUAGGGCUGCUUUGAACCAUGACUGAAAGAACAGUGGCCCUCCGAGUGUCAGGGGACGCGCUGGAACCCGAGUGGCGGAGCCGUGGGCGGCCAAGAGUCAAGCGCACACACGCAGGAGGCGGGCACGUCUCAGAGGUCAAAACCUGGCCGAGAGGAGAUGCAAAGGGUUAAGAGAAAAUCUGCAGACGUUUUUUCCUGCUAAAUUUUGAUAUUGGAAACACAUCUUCCAAACGGCAUUUUUUUAGCUCUGAGUUUCUCUGGUGAAUACCUGUUUAAAAUGAGAGCCUCCAGGAGGCAGGGUGGGUGGGGAAAGAGAGACCAAGACAGAGAGAGAGAGAGAGAGAGAGAAAGAGAAAGAGAGAGAGGAAGAUUGGGAGAGGGACAGAGAGAGAAAUAGAGAAACGUUUACCAUUUAAAAAGGGGGUAGGGCUUUAUAUAUUUCUCCCCCAAAAUAUCUUCAGUCGUCACAACAAAGGUCACCAUCAUUUCUAAAUCCUUUAUAUACCACAUAAAAUGACUUUUACUCCAAAAAUCCUCCCCGAAGGAUAGUUUGUGGGUUUUUUUUUAUUAUCAUGAUCUGCGUGGCUCACUCUUUUUGCCAAUAUUGUGACCAAAUAUAAAGCAAGAGUGUCGAUUUUUUCAACCCAGAAAUACAUUUUGAAGUCCAUCAUGAAGCAGGUUGGAAGGUGCCGUUUUGAAAGCUAGACCUCCUGGGAGGCUUUCUGACCCUCAUAAUGCAGGCAAAUUCUUACAUUACUGCAUGAUAGACAUGGUAGGCUUAGGGACAGGUCCCCAUUAGGAAAUCACUAUGUCUUCAGGCAAGUUUUGCCCUUGAGUUGAAGAGGGAUGAAAACAAAGUAAAGUGGUUGUCACAAACUGUUUUGAUCUUUAAACUUAUUUGACUGUGGCACAGCAAAGCCUCAGCUUCUGCAGCCAUGUUAGAGACAUCGCUGCAGAAAAUAGUCUCACUUUAGAAUAUGCUUUCACCCUUCAAUGUUAAUAACUGCUCCUCAGCAAGACCUGUGAUUUCCUUCUCUCUUCCUCUGAUAGCCAGUCCCUUGCUCCUCAAAUCAUGGACCAGGGGCCAUCAUCAGCAUGGGCUCCACCCAGGGGCUGAUUUGACUUGCAUGGUCUCAGGCCUCCCCCAGAUCUGCAGCACCAGGGUGGGAAUUCUGAAAGGAUUUCAACUCUAGGGACCGCUGGUUCAGAGAACUCUGAUCUUGCAAUAGAGUCCGUACGCACUUAGCACCUGAAAUGUUCCCUAGUCCACAUCUCGAGUUUGGAGCAGCAAGAAUCUUCAUGGUGAAAGCUGCCAUGACAUUCUUCUGCUUGCCUGGCAAACUAAGGAGACUCUUGGCCAUAACCUUUUAUAAAGUCUUAGCUCGUCUUAUCUAAAUCCUUCUAUUAUCAAAGUUAAACUCUUCCAGCUCCCUGAUCCUUUCCUAUUAUUCUCUGAAAUGUCCAUCUCUUUUCUGCCCAACCCACUCAGCCAUGUUCUUAUGGGCCCAAGAAGGUAAGAAAGAAAGAUACUGGGAAGGGAUAGAUGUGCAAAUGAUGAAUGAGCUUUCGUUUGGAUUUAAAAGCCUGUGUCAUUAAGGAAAGGGUGGAUUUCUGGAAUCAAAGAGGGUGAGUGUUCUGUGCAUUCUCCCCAAUCAGCUGCGAUCUCUACAUCAGCAACCGGCCUUGUCACAUUGUGUUUGAAUAUGUGUGUGUUCUUCUUUCAAACAUGGCUGGGCCUUAGGGUUGUUUUUUUUUUUGGUUGUUUGUUUUUUGCUUCUAUUUUUGCUUUAUUUUGCAUUUCCCCAUAAAUGUAUGUAAUUAAAAAAUAGAAUCCACUUGUUGAGAGUAAAGUAGUCAUCUCAUUCCACACUUCCUCCCACCACGGCACCACUAAUUUAUCGUGCAAUCCUAGCAUUUUUAUUCUUGCUGAGAUGUGGAUAACCUUUUUACAUUGAAAACUCCUUUGCAACCUUACAAGAAAAGCCAAUUAAUCAAUUAGAAUAUCAUUCUCGAAUUACAGUGGAAUUAUGUGUCCCCUCUGCUGAAAACCAUUGAAACUUGCGGUGCAUUACUUCAAUUAAGAAUACUUAAUUUCCAAAUGGCACAAAUGAGCAAAGCAUGAGUCAUAGCACACGGCUCUCCUUAAAAGCCAUCAGUGCUAAUGGUUUUGAAACCUGUAUAAACCUGAUACGUGCUUCAUUUAUAUGGCAAGCUAAAUCCACGUAAGGGUGUAAUAUUUCUGCUUAUGUACACAAGGCUUUAUGUGGUGCUCCCUGCAAUUGCACAAAAAUGUAGAUGGCUUUUUGCAUGCCCUGCUUCUUACGUGAGGUGUGGCGAGUAGAUAGGAUCGUGCUUCGCUAUCACCCCACACAAAGUGCACUUAGGCCGAUCGAUCGGAAUGCUUCAUAACAUUCGAAGUUAUGAUAAUCAGAGAUUAGGGGGAAACAGCAAAUUCCAGUGUCUGGAGAAGUAUUUUUCAUUGCUCCUGUAUCUCACUAUCCCAUCUGCCUGGCUUUAUUCCAGACUCUUCAUUUGACCCCUUUGCACUGCCAUCCAGCAUGAAUGAGUUUUGCUAGAAUGAGGGGUGUGGAAACCAGUUUCUCAAGCCUCCCAAAGCUCCAGGUUUUAUUCUUGUCUUGAGUUCUUUGUAUCCAGGCUGUUCAUUAGAAUCCUGGGAGAAGAUGACCCUGAGAUAGCAAUAAUGGUGCGUUCACCAUGGGGAGCCCACACCUGUUCCCUGCAAAGGACCCACAUGUUUCUUCUCUGGCCUACUUAUCUCCCCCAGUAUAGAAUACCACCUUUUACACUUCCUCGGCAAAUUGCUUUAGUGCAUUAGAUCGAUAGUACUAAAAUCUAAGUCCAUAUUAGACUUCAAUAUUAAUGUUUGUGUUAACCAUAAACACAAAAUACAAAUACUGAUGUUUAUGAAUUAGUGUUACUAAUAUUAAUUUUUGUGUUAACCAUGAACUUCUAUACUAAUUUCAAUACUAAUUAAAUACUAAUUUUUGUGUUAACCACAAAUGCAUUAUGAAGAACAGUAAGAGAAAAUAAGAGGAUAUGGAAAAUCAAUAUUAGUUCUAAAUGUUCUUAUUUUGUUCCCAACGUUUUGUAUCAAACUGUUUAUAGCAUAUGAUUUUUCCUCCCAAAGUACUGCCUUCAUGCUCUAGAAAAAUUUGCUUUCAAUUUUCAAUAAUCAAAUGGUAAAUUUUGUUUAAAUUAGCUUCUUUAAAAAUGAAAACACUUGAUUCUGGGAAGAUUUUUCCUAAUUGGCUAAAUAAAGACAAUUUUACUGAAAUAAAAACAUUCUGUUCUAUCAAAAGGUCUUAGGUUUGGGCAACAGGGAGCUAGUCCCCUGGGAACGUGGGACAAGUGCACAUCCUGAGCCCAUCCCAGAAACACUGAAGUCCAGUAAGGCUCUCACCUUGGUUCUGGACUUAGAAACAUCCUUGAGCUCACCACAGGCUGCAGCUUGCUCGUAGCCACUCUCCCCCAACUCAUUGAUGGCUCCAGCUGGGCACUGCUGCCUCCAAGUGACGCGAGGGCGGGGAGAGUUUCAGGAAGCAUGCACUUGGCCUGUUAACCAGCACUGGAAAGAGUAAGUCAUUGCUGAAAUGUAUUUACCAAGGUGGGACACUGGAUUUAUUUUAUUUAUUAGGUUUUUAAAAAAAAUCUUGUGGAACUUUUUUUUUUUUUUUUUU
rnacentral:lncRNA from 10 species